UACAAAAGCCAAAUACAGCUGUCACGAUUC
rnacentral:piRNA from 1 species